AAAUUGUCACUUCCGCAAUCCCUCAAUGAUACCCAUAGAAUUGAUUACCACUACCACCACCUCAACUAUCUUCGAAAAGCAAUCGAGUAAGUUCUUUUGAAAAGUUAAAUAAGGUUUAACUUAUAUCUUUUACUUAUCACUACACUAGACAUACUUACAUUUGAAAUUCGCCUUUUUGUGCAGUGAUGGUGUAAAUGUGAAGGGAUACUUUGCAUGGUCAUUGACGGACAAUUUUGAAUGGGGUGCUGGAUACACCUUACGAUUUGGUUUCGUCUAUAUAGAUUACAAUGAUGGACUUAAGAGGCACCCAAAAGUCUCAGCAAGCUGGUUUAAAUAUUUCCUUGGAUAAUGGUGAAGAUAUCCUGCUGCAGUUGUUGUUCGUGAAAUAAAUAUGCCAAGCAUAUCAUUUCCCUAUUUUCAUAAUUGUAUUCCUUUAGGAAUGUUCUUCCUCUUUCAUAAAAUAAAUAUGCCAAUUAUAUAUGGAUGUUUCUUUGUGUAUGGACAAAAUAAAAAAUGGUCCCUAUAACAUACAGGAUGUGGGAAUAUGAUUUUCUUGUCUCCUAAGUAAGAAAACCCUAUAAAAAAUGGUCCUUAUAACAUGUGGCAUCUCGGGUGGACAAAAUAAAAAAUGGUCCCUAUAAAAAAUGGUCCCUAUAAAAAAUGGUCCUUAUAACAUGUGUAUGUACAAAAUAAAAAAUGGUCCCUAUAACAUGUGUAUGGACAAAAUAAAAAAUGGUCCCUAUAAAAAAUGGUCCUUAUAACAUGUGGCAUCUCGGGUGGCAAGAGGGACCGGAAUACUUGUAACCCAUGAGCGUAGUCCUUAGUCUGACAUACUACACAUUGAAGAUGUUACUUGUCUCCUAAGUAAGAAAACCCUAAUUCAAGUCAAAUUAGGAUAUCUUAGAAAUUAGAUAAUGCAAUCAUAAUCGUAAGAAGAUUGGAUAUCUUAUCCUAGAUUCCCGAUUUGAUAGGCUUACUCUCCCUACCAAGACUAUGAACAACUGUUCAUCUUCUCUAUAACUAUCGUACGCAUAUUUUCUCUAUGCCUAACAGAGGCUCAUCUUGCAUACACGCCACCGUCUACACAUAGACGCGUUCAUUAGAAACUUAUCUUCUUAACGCCUCGCCAUAGGCUAUUCGUCAAGAAUAGUUCAUGAUGUAGUUCACAUCGCACCAUUCUUUCUUAGGGUUACACCAGUGAGGUAAUGCAUUCGUAUUGAUUAACCUUUCAAUAGAUGUCAACGGCCAUGCCAUGUGCUAUUAACAUGUUAUGCAUAUGAGAGAUUCACAUCAGAAUUACCAGUGGAACAAUUACCAAACGGCUGUGAACAAUGAGCUUGUGUAAAUACUCCUCUUAUAUAGGCUAAAUGAAUAAUGAGAUUGUUGUAAAACCCAAAUAAAAGGAGUUUAUAAAGGGACCAAUUAGGACGAUUUGAGAGAGAGGACUCCAUUGUUGCCUGUGAAUUGAUAUGAUAAAAAAGACAGAGACAAUAGAAACGAAAAUACCACUCAAACACCCAAUGGCAUUGGGAUAUAUCCUUUGUAAAUGGGUUGAAAGCCUCAUCACCUCUUUAUGCUGCAAUUCAAAAAAGCACGAUCAAAUCUCGGAAUUGAGUAGCAAUAGAAGAAUCUAGGGGACUAAAAAAGUUCCCAAAUAAAUUAAAACUGCAUAAACAAAAAAAAACAAAAAUAAUAUUUGAAUACGUGAGAUGAUUGAAGAACUAAUGGAGGAAGAAAUUGAAUGGAGUUUUACGCUAGCCAAAGGUUAAGAGGGAGGAGCGGAGUUUGAUGCAAAUUGGCACGGGCAGUUGUGAAACAGCGGGAACGUGUUGUAGUAGUUGUGAAAGAGUGAGAACUAUUAUCAAACUACCCUUUGGGAUGAUGAAUUUGGUUUUUUUUACCAGUUUGUCCUUAUUUUCUGAUUUUUUUUGGGUUUGAUUGUGAAGAAAAUAUAAGGAUAUUCUUGGUAUUUUGGAAUGUUUCACCAAACUGAGGCUCUCACUUUAUAUAUACUUUAUAUAUAUAGAUAUAGAUUAACGGUUACAUGUUUUCCUCAUACAUACUUUCUCUUUACUAGCCUCUUGCCACACGCAUUCGCGUGUGGCAAUUGACCUUUUUAUAUUAGAUUAUGUCUUUUAAUUUUUUUUAAGUUAACUAUUUUAUAUUUUUAUUAAAAAAUUAUUCAGAAAAAAAAAAGCAAAACCAUGAAACUACCCACUAACAUGGGAGUUUUUUUUAAUUAAAGUUUUAAAUUUAAAAUUCAUUCAAAAUUAAAAUGUGGUGAAUUACUUUAAAUUCUUAUGGUUCAAUUGUAAUUUUUAGAAUUUUUGACAGACAAUCUUUGGUAUUUUGAAUGUUUCACCUUUUUAUCCUUCUCACUUUAUGUCUAUAUAUAUAUAUAAAGUGAGAGCCCCAGUUUGGUGAAACAUUCAGUAAACCCAAUAUUGCCCUUUGCUUCAUUCACAAUUAAAAACCACAAAAGUUUAGAAAAUGAGGACAAAGUCGUAAAAACACCAUAAUUGGGUAGAAAACAAAUAAAAUAAAAUAAAAUCUAUAAACAUACGUGCUUAACAGUUAACCCUCACAAACUGCUAAGAAGUAGUGGGCAGUUUAAAAACACAAACUAAAAAAAAAUAAUAUAUUUACCAUAUAUGUAAAAAAGAAGUAUAAAAAAGGUUACAGUAGAAAGAAAAUAUAAAAAUUUAAAAUAUAAAAAAUUUAAAAAGUAUUGGAAAAGAAAACAGAAAUUUGAAAAAAAAGAAGAAAAACAAGUAGACGUGCUUAAGCCUCUCAAACUGCUAAGCAGUAGUGGGCAAUUUUCUCUCCCAAAGAUUUCCACGAUCUGAGUUUGGUGGGAAGGUUCAACACUAACCACCUGCAUACCACCAAUAUUUAGAGAUGUGUAAUCGGAAUGAGGCUAAUUUUAAUUUUCAGGAAUUCGCUGUGUGGUUUCAGUUCAUUCCAAACAAAAAAAGAUCGACAAACUCAGUGACAGAAAUUAGUAAAAGAUUUGAGCUUUCGGAACAAAUUUUUCUCCAAAAAUCAAAAAUUUCAUCGGGUUAGUGAUUCAUCUUUUCAGUUUUCGUUCUCUUCAACUUUUGUAAAUUCGAUAAAAGUUAUUUGUUCAUCCAAUUGGGUUAUCAGGAAAUGUUCAACUCUUUGUUUACAAAGGAUAUGAUUUUGGCUGCAGUUUAGGUUCUUGGAUUGAUUCCACAUUUCAAAUCAACUUCUAACCUACUAACCUUGAUGGAGGGGAGGGGCAGAGGAUGAAGAAAAUUCCGGGCAAAGAGCUUUGACUCCCUGAUUCACUGCGGCAACAACAUACCACCAUCCUCCUUUCGUUCCCAUGUCACCAGAAGCAACAAGAAGAUAUAAAACAAAAUUGGUGUUUUGAAAUUCUGAUUAAUUUUGCUGAAGUAAUGAAUAAUUUUGAUUACUGUUUUUAGUCAUUCACAUGUUCUUUUUUCGUUGUCUUCCAUUUUUCGUAAAUCCGAUUACAGUUUUUAAAACAUCAACUCAUGUUACUAACAAACAAUUUCAUGGCUUUCUAUGGUUGUACAGACUCAUUGGUUGCUGACCCAUUUGUUAGGGCUCAAACAAAAAGAAAGUUGAGAAAGUCUAUUCUUGUCGUAGAAGUCCUGUUGGCAGUGAGCUGAAGAAAGGAAAGGUGUGAACACCAUAAUAGGUGGCCUUUUGCUUUUGGCACCGAGAUAUUUCCAAAAUUUCCCUUAAGCUUUAGCAUUGCCACUUGCCGGAUGUGUUUGCAUUUUAUGAUACAAAUUCCAAUGUUAUACAUGCAAAUAGUUAUAAGAACAUUUAUCUGAUGUUUUCUACCUCAUUCAACAACUUAAUUACACUCCCACUGUUUUGGUUGGAAGUUGAGAGUCUUCAUUCCAUCGACGUCCUUUCCUUCACAAUUUAUACUGAAAAUUACUUGCAAAAUGUAAUAUGAAUGGUUUGGUUGACAGUUACAUUAUUACAAUGUGAACAUCCAACAUCGAUUAUAUUAGCAAUAGAUAAAGACGCUCAAGAUUGUUUAAACUAAUAAAACUCUGAUUCCUCAAUUUGACGAGACAAAACUGAAUCAAUCAUAUUCCAUGAAUGAAAUAACAAAAACUUUGAGAAACAACAAAACAAGACUACAUUUGUGUUAAGGAGGACCAUGGAAACUUGAAUGGCAUACAAAAUUGCAGCAAAAAACAUGUGUUGCAAAGUUAUCUGGAAAUCUAUCUGGAAUCGAUUGACUGGUAUCAAAUUUUUUAGAUAUUAGAAAAAAAUGUACAUCAAGUAACACAUGUUAUACAUGAUGAGAUAUUAGAAAAAUAUAUGUUAAAAUAGGACAUAUCUACCAUAUCGUCAGCUUAUAUGGCCAAACUUAAAAAAAAGAGUAAUGGUAUGAGUAAAAGAGCAGCACGACAUCGUUCUCCUGGGAAUAUUCAGGUCAAAGUCCAAUUAUUUGCAUCUCUCAAAUUUGUUAAUUUAUCCAUUUUGUCUGGCUUAACAAACAAUCAUCUUUUUCAUGUGGCCUGCAUUUCAUCACCAUAUUCUCCCUAAAAAACAAAACAACAUCCUCAACACAGCACCUCAUCAUAAAAAUCUACACCACCCUCUUUUCACCCAAUUAUAAUCCUACACGAUUGCACCCCCUUCAAGAUCAACCACAAAACCUCCAUCGGUUCAUCUCAGAACAUCUACAAAACCCAACGGCUCCCCAAACUGAAAUUAUAUUCCUUAGCGCACUUGAUCGCAUCUCCCGCCACAGCUACCAUAUCCAAACCAAUCGCAUUUCCCCGUCCCAACGCGGCGAGAUACAAUGUUCAGACUUAACUCGGUGCCCCUCCCGACUCUGUCCCAACGGUCAGCCAUGGCCGCCAUCCACUCCAUAGCAGCUCAGAGCUUCCUCUCUCUCCCGAACCCCAAACCCAGAAAACGCAUUGCCGCUCACCCAAAACCCAUCUUGACCUCCAAACUCCCAAAAAACCCAACUUUCCCCAGAAACAAACAGAAAGGCAGGAGGGUUUUGAACUCGGCGGUCAAGCGAGAAGAGUGCGAUGUGAUUCCGGUUCAGAGCUCCGACAGUACGGACCAGCAGGAAGGGGUGGUGGCCAGCAGGGUGGAGAGCGAAGCCGGGGAUCAGGGGGAGUUGGUGAGUCAGGUGGGCGGGUUCGGAGCGAGUGAGGGGAGGCUUUCGUUUGAAGGGGCUGGUGGGUUUGGGUCUACUGGGGUUGGAAGUGAGAGGGAGAGUGAGGAAUUCGAGAGGCCGGUGGAAAAACUACUAACUAAUAUACCUAGUCGUUAUAGCAGUGCUUCCCUGAACAGAAGCAGUGCUUCCCUGAACAGGAGCAGUUUUCCAUCAGGCUUUGUAUUUGGUUCAGCUUCAGCAUCUUACCAAGUUAGUGUUUCUGCACUUAAUAAGUUGUUAGGGUUUUCGUUUAAUGUCCGCCCUAUUAGCAUACAUGCAGGAAAAUACUAAGAUGCUCAUUUUGUACUCUUAUAUGUGUAAAUUAAUUUCAGUAUGAAGGUGCAUGGAAUGAAGGUGGUAAAGGACCAAGCAUAUGGGAUAACUUCACCCACCAGUAUCCAGGUACCUACACCGGUGCCAGAUUGAAUUGAACCUUGAUUAAUACAGAUUUAUACUUAACCUUUACAAGGGUUAGACAUUGAUGGGGGACGAGGCCUAAACCAUGAGGUUUAUGAAGAUAAUGAAAAUUUUACAUGGUUAAUUGCAGAAAAAAUCAGUGAUGGAAGCAAUGGGGACGUGGCUAAUGAUCAAUACCACCGCUAUAAGGUUCAAAAAUUUCAUUAACUUUGUUCUCCAGUCCUUCUGAAUUAUUCAAUAGUAUAAGGAGAAUUAAAGAAUUUACGGCCUUAAGAAAAUUAAGGAGGUUGAAGAUGAGGCAUUUUCUUAUAACACAUAUUGUGUUAUUCUAUAUAGGAAGAUGUAAAGAUUAUGAAGGAUAUGGGAUUGGAUGCUUAUAGGUUCUCUAUCUCAUGGUCCAGAUUGUUACCAAGUAAGUUGAUCAUCCGCAUUCGCGUUAAUUAGUUGGGACGAAGUAGUGUGUCCAUGCAUGAUGUUUGCCCUGAGUAAUAUAACCAAUAAUAUAUGUAGUUUAACAUAUUUUGUUCCCCUUUCGAAUGUAUUUGCUUAUGUUCUUGUUUAAUUUUAAUUAUAUAAUUAGAUGGAAAGCUAAGUGGGGGUGUGAGCAAGGAAGGAGUACAAUACUACAACAAUCUCAUCAAUGAACUCCAAAACAAAGGUGAUGCAACAGCUUAAUCUCAUAUAUCAUCCCACCUUACAAAUAUAUAUAUACAGACACACAUAUACAUAUAUACAUAUUAAGAGUUACAUGUUAUAUAAUCGAGCGUGUUGUUUUUAUUGAUCAUGCACAGGUAUAGCGCCAUAUGUGACAAUCUUUCAUUGGGAUCUUCCUCAAGCUUUAGAAGAAGAAUAUGGUGGUUUCUUAAACCGUCAAAUUGUGUAAGUGUAGACUUUGAUUCUCUAAUUAAUAAUAAUUCUUUAUCUUCUUGAUGAUUGAUCGUUUACAUAUUCAAAUGUAUAUUGCUAUAAUGCAUAAACCUUCAAAAUCAGCGUGCAACUGAUUUUUAAUUUUCCAUGUUGCAGCAAUCAUUUUCGAGACUAUGCAGAACUUUGCUUUAAGUUAUUUGGCGAUCGGGUAAAGCAUUGGAUCACACUAAAUGAGCCAUAUAAUUUUAUUAAUUUUGGCUAUGCAUCAGGACAAUUAGCACCCGGGCGAUGUUCUGCUUGGCAGAACUUAAACUGCACCGGCGGUGAUUCGGCUACCGAACCCUAUAUAGUAGCACACCACUUCCUCCUCGCUCAUGCACAUGCUGUUGAAGUGUACAAGACUAAAUAUCAGGUCAUAUUAAUACUCAAUGUUGUAAUAUUAAAUUGAUGAGAUAGGGUUAAUUUACCUUUUUUCAUACCGUAACUAAUCAAGUUUAGGUGGUGAUGUGCAGGCAUCUCAAGAAGGCGUGAUAGGAAUAACAUUAGCGGCAAAUUGGUUUGUGCCAAUUUCUAACGAAACUCGUCAUCAGAAUGCUGCAAAUCGAUCUUUGGAUUUUAUGUUUGGAUGGCAAGUUUAUUUGUUCCAAACUUAUAUAUCAACCCAAUUAAAUGUUCAUUUAUACGAUAAUAAUACAAAAUUUAUUGACGAAAUUUCAAUGAUUAUAUAGGUUUAUGGAGCCAUUGACAAGCGGCCAAUAUCCGCACAGUAUGCAAGUUCUUGUUAAAGAAAGAUUACCUAAAUUUACAGAAGAAGAAUCCAAGUUAAUAAAAGGGUCAUUUGAUUUUGUUGGAAUGAAUUAUUAUACUACUCACUAUUCAAGCGAUCAACCUGAUAAUAAUUCUGCAAAUCCAAGCUUCUUGACCGAUGCUUGCGUUUUUGAAUCAAGUGAGUACAAAAUGAAAAACCAAUUAUUUAAUUUGACUAAUUUAAGUUCAUCAAAAUAUUUAAAAUCUCAUAUUCCUAAAUGUUGUGGCAGCCGAGCUUAAUGGAGUCCCCAUUGGUCCUCCGGUACGCAUCGAACAAUUAGCUAAACUAUUUGCAUUCAAAGAGUAAUUGUUUUUCAUUUAGUUAACUUACCUUCAUAAAUUGGGGUUGCAGGCUGCUUCAAGCUGGCUAGUUAUUUAUCCAAAAGGCAUUCGAGAGAUUUUACUUUACGCAAAGCACAAAUAUAAUAAUCCGGUCAUUUACAUUACUGAGAACGGUAAUUAUUUUUAAACCUUAAUUAACUAAAUAAUUAAUGCUUCACAUGUAUAUGGUGUAAAAUGCAGUUGACAUCUAUAAGUGAUCUACAUAUAAAACUAGAUGGGAACUCUCAAACAUUUAGCAAUCUGUUGAAUCGAUAGGAAUGAAAUGAUGAAUCUAUAAUUCUUCGCCUCUUCUUCAAUAAAAAACAUUAAAUAAAAAAUUAAUUAUAUUGCAGGCAUGGAUGAGUUCGAUGAUCCCAAAUUGUCACUUCCGCAAUCCCUCAAUGAUACCCACAGAAUUGAUUACCACUACCACCACCUCGACUAUCUUCGAAAAGCAAUCGAGUAAGUUCUUUUGAAAAGUUAAAUAAGGUUUAACUUAUAUCUUUUACUUAUCACUACACUAGACAUACUUACAUUUGAAAUUCGCCUUUUUUGUGCAGUGAUGGUGUAAAUGUGAAGGGAUACUUUGCAUGGUCAUUGACGGACAAUUUUGAAUGGGCUGCUGGAUACACCUUACGAUUUGGUUUCGUCUAUAUAGAUUACAAUGAUGGACUUAAGAGGCACCCAAAACUCUCAGCAAGCUGGUUCAAAUAUUUCCUUGGAUAAUGGUGAAGAUAUCCUGCUGCAGUUG
rnacentral:lncRNA from 1 species